CAUUAUUGAUGUACAAACGUUAUUGAUACAGGAAGUGACAGACAGUUCUUCUGUUGUGUCAGAUCGUGUUCAAUAUAAAUAUUUGCAAUGUUAUUAAAAGAUGGUCAAGUAGACCUAUCACAUUGAUUGAGUUUGAACAACUUCUUCACGCACCUCCUUGCAAUGCUGACUUGCACCACGAAUGCUGUCUUCCCACAAAGGCGACUGAUGAGGGGCCGAUUGAGUGACAUCUGCUCCGGAGAGAGGGAGAGGGACGGACUGGCUGCUCUUGGCAACGGUGGCAGCGCGGGCUCUGGCACAAGGCACGGUUUUCUUUAAACAAACACCGUUAAUGAAGCUGACAUCUGCAGGAAACCAACAACUAAAUGAAUGCAAGAAGCAACAUCCCAUCUCAGCCUUCCCACUGUCAGUCACACACAGCAUCUCAAAGACAAUACCCAGCCACCACAGGCAGGCACGCCGGACGGGUAGUGUCUACUGAAGCCUUCCAACCACCAGUCAGUGUUGUCAAGGCGAUAUACAGUUGAUGUGCUGUAAAUUGAUUUCCGGGGAGAUGUGAUGGAUGAAUGGAAAAUGAACAUCUUCAUCGGUGACCCCUCCGCGCCGUCGUCUCGAUUGCUUCUCCCCACGCCCGCCCAUGAUUGACAAGCGCGCUAACGAGCGCUGUCGCCGGUCAUGUUCUAAUUUCCCUGUGUGGAAAACACGGCGAGUCUCCGGCCCUACGGUAAUGAGCCCUACAAAGAGAAGGAGAGGACAGAAAGAAAGACUCGCCCCGAAGAGAUGGAAGACGGAAUGAAAGAAGUCCAAGUAAAUAAGAUAGAAAGGACCAACAUGAAAGUAGAUUAAAAAAGUUGAGAUUAUUACCGGCAAGGGAAAGGGGCAUGUCAUUGUUUAUCUGUCUUCUACUGUGAUGGAUGUCUUUCUUACUGGCGGUUUCAGCUACAACCUCAACUUAAUGGAUUCCUAGAGUGGGCUGGGAUUUCAAAAGACAAAAUGAGUCUUGGCGUAAUGAGCGGAUGUUAUAUAUUUGAUAUAUUGUAAUUGAUAUAGAGUGGCAGAGUGUGGUCCUCAUUGGACUUUAACGUCUCCUUCAACGCAGACGAGAGCUUCCUUCUAACUUUACUGUUGAACACAAACACCAAUCAAGGUGAUCACAAUUACAGGAAGACAAAGAGAGCAGACUUUUAAACUCUCAACUAAACUUAAUCGAUAUGAUGGAACGCAAGGUCAUAAAGCCAGGUAGCUACGUUUUAAGCACAAAGCUAUAUUGGCAUACCGAGUAGAGACAGAGAGUGUGUGAGAGAGAGUGUAAUGUUUACUGUUAAUUUGUAUUGUUUAUUAUCUACUUGACUUGCUUUGGAAAUGUUAACACAUGUUUCCCAUGCCAAUAAAGCCCUUGAAUUGAAAUUGAGAGAGAUGCAUGCAUGUAUACCUGUACAUACGUGUGUUUGAGUCAUGUCAUCUAUUCAUCCAGACGAGUAG
rnacentral:lncRNA from 1 species